GACGAACGCUGGCGGCGUGCUUAACACAUGCAAGUCGAACGGAAAGGCCUGCUUUCCCUUGUGGAUUGCGGGUACUCGAGUGGCGAACGGGUGAGUAACACGUGAGUGAUCUGCCCCCGACUUGGGUAUAAGCCUGGGAAACUGGGUCUAAUUCCCGAUAGGACUGCAGGGUGGUGCCUGUGGUGGAAAACGAUUUUCUAGUGGUUGGGGAUGAGCUCGCGGCCUAUCAGCUUGUUGGUGGGGUAAUGGCCUACCAAGGCGGCGACGGGUAGCCGGCCUGAGAGCGUGGACGGCCACAUUGGGACUGGGAUACGGCCCAGACGCCUACGGGAGGCAGGAGUGGGGACGCAUGCACACAGGGCGGAAGCCUGAAGCAGCGACGCCGCGUGGAGGAUGACGGCCUUCGGGUUGUAAACUCCUUUCGACCGCGAGGAAGGCACCUGGUUGGGAGGGUGGUGACGGUAGUGGUAGAAGAAGCACCGGCUAACUACGUG
rnacentral:rRNA from 1 species